GCCUGGUUAGCUCAGCUGGUUAGAGCGUCGUACUAAUAUCUUCAUUGGAGAUAUCAAGUAAUGCGAAGGUCAACAGUUCAAUCCUGUUACUGGGCA